GUCUACGGCCACACCACCCUGAACAUGCCUGAUCUCGGAAGCUAAGCAGGGUCAGGCCUGGUUAGUACUUGGAUGGGAGACCACCUAGAAAGACCAGGUGCUGUCAGUG
rnacentral:rRNA from 1 species